AAGAGCGUAGUAUUAAUUGGCAGUAUGACGAUCUCCAAAAUCAUUGGUAGGUGUUCGAAUCACCUCGCUCUUG
rnacentral:tRNA from 1 species